AUUGAACGCUGGCGGCAUGCCUUACACAUGCAAGUCGAACGGCAGCACGGACUUCGGUCUGGUGGCGAGUGGCGAACGGGUGAGUAAUACAUCGGAACGUGCCUAGUAGUGGGGGAUAACUACUCGAAAGAGUGGCUAAUACCGCAUGAGAUCUACGGAUGAAAGCAGGGGAUCGCAAGACCUUGUGCUACUAGAGCGGCCGAUGGCAGAUUAGGUAGUUGGUGGGAUAAAAGCUUACCAAGCCAACGAUCGGUAGCCGGACUGAGAGGUUGAACGGCCACAUUGGGACUGAGACACGGCCCAG
rnacentral:rRNA from 1 species